rnacentral:rRNA from 1 species
AUACCAGCUCUCCGAGUGGUGUGGAUGUUUAUUGGGCCUAAAGCAUCCGUAGCUGGCCAAGUUAGUCCCCUGUUAAAUCCACCGAUUUAAUCGUUGGUGUGCGGGGGAUACUGCUCGGCUAGGGGACGGGAGAGGCAGACGGUAUUUCCGGGGUAGGGGUGAAAUCCUAUAAUCCCGGGAGGACCACCAGUGGCGAAGGCUGUCUGCUAGAACGCGCCCGACGGUGAGGGACGAAAGCUGGGGGAGCGAACCGGAUUAGGUACCCGGGUAGUCCCAGCUGUAAACGAUGCAGGCUAGGUGUUUGGACGGCCACGUGCCGUUCUAGUGCCGCAGGGAAGCCGUUAAGCCUGCCGCCUGGGGAGUACGGUCGCAAGGCUGAA